ACACAUGCAAGUCGAACGGCAGCACAGGAGAGCUUGCUCUCUGGGUGGCGAGUGGCGGACGGGUGAGGAAUGCGUCGGANUCUGCCUAUUUGUGGGGGAUAACGUAGGGAAACUUACGCUAAUACCGCAUACGACCUACGGGUGAAAGUGGGGGACCUUCGGGCCUCACGCAGAUNGAUGAGCCGACGCCGGAUUAGCUAGUUGGCGGGGUAAAGGCCCACCAAGGCGACNAUCCGUAGCUGGUCUGAGAGGAUGAUCAGCCACACUGGAACUGAGACACGGUCCAGACUCCUACGGGAGGCAGCAGUGGGGAAUAUUGGACAAUGGGCGCAAGCCUGAUCCAGCCAUGCCGCGUGUGUGAAGAAGGCCUUCGGGUUGUAAAGCACUUUUGUCCGGAAAGAAAAGCAUCCGGUUAANAACCGGGUGUCAUGACGGUACCGGAAGAAUAAGCACCGGCUAACUUCGUGCCAGCAGCCGCGGUNAUACGAAGGGUGCAAGCGUUACUCGGAAUUACUGGGCGUAAAGCGUGCGUAGGUGGUUUGUUAAGUCCGAUGUGAAAGCCCUGGGCUCA
rnacentral:rRNA from 1 species